rnacentral:rRNA from 1 species
UACGUAGGGUGCAAGCGUUAAUCGGAAUUACUGGGCGUAAAGCGUGCGCAGGCGGUUUUGUAAGUCUGAUGUGAAAUCCCCGGGCUCAACCUGGGAAUUGCAUUGGAGACUGCAAGGCUAGAAUCUGGCAGAGGGGGGUAGAAUUCCACGUGUAGCAGUGAAAUGCGUAGAGAUGUGGAGGAACACCGAUGGCGAAGGCAGCCCCCUGGGAUAACACUGACGCUCAUGCACGAAAGCGUGGGGAGCAAACAGG